CUGAUUGCUGCGACCAGCCAUAGUCAAAACAACCUCACUCCUCGUCUCCCUCGUCCUAUGUCAUCGUUAAUGGUUUGGUGACAAACCUGGCCGAAAAAUGCCAUGAAUGGAGACCUCCACAGCACGUACCAAAACAAAGCCAGAAACAGAAGUUUUGGAUAGAAAGAUUAUGAAAGAUUGGAGUCGAUGGAGUUCGUUUCGAGUGUCGUCCGACGAGAUUCCGCCUCAUCGAGGAAAAUGUACGUGAUGCAAUUUGAUAUGGUGGCCACAAGUCAAUUUGAUCUAUUAGAGUGACUAUUUGAACAAUGGUGAUCUUUGUAUAUAUUCCACUUUGUACAAUUUAUUGUCAGUACACAUCUUAAAAUAUUGCUUUA